ACGAACGCUGGCGGCGUGCCUAACACAUGCAAGUCGAGCGGAGACAUGCGACGGAUACGAAGUUUUCGGAUGGAGUUGAAGAUGUAUGUUUUAGCGGCGGACGGGUGAGUAACGCGUGAACAAUCUGUCCUUCACAGGGGGAUAACACAGCGAAAGUUGUACUAAUACCGCAUGAGACCACAGUGCCGCAUGGUACAGGGGUCAAAGGAGCAAUCCGGUGAAGGGUGAGUUCGCGUCCGAUUAGAUAGUUGGUGAGGUAACGGCCCACCAAGUCGACGAUCGGUAGCCGACCUGAGAGGGUGAUCGGCCACAUUGGGACUGAGACACGGCCCAAACUCCUACGGGAGGCAGCAGUGGGGAAUAUUGGGCAAUGGGGGAAACCCUGACCCAGCAACGCCGCGUGAGGGAAGAAGGUUUUCGGAUCGUAAACCUCUGUCCUAGGUGAAGAGAAAGAGACGGUAGCCUAGGAGGAAGCCCCGGCUAACUACGUGCCAGCAGCCGCGGGUAAUACGUANGGGGGGCGAGCGUUGGUCCGGAAUGGAUUGGGCGUACAGG
rnacentral:rRNA from 1 species